rnacentral:rRNA from 1 species
CCCUUAGAUGUUCUGGGCCACACGCGCGCUACACUGAUGCAUUCAACGAGUUUCUUCCUGGUCCGAGAGGAAUGGGUAACCUUUUGAAAGUGCAUCGUGAUAGGGAUAGACUAUUGCAAUUAUUGGUCUUCAACGAGGAAUUCCUAGUAGACGUAGUUCAUCAGACUGCAUCGAUUACGUCCCUGCCCUUUGUACACACCGCCCGUCGCUCCUACCGAUUGAAUGCUCAGGUGAGCCAUUCGGACCUUCAUCAUGCCGGUUUCCGGUUUUGAUGAGGGAAAGUCUUGCGAACCUUAUCAUUUAGAGGAAGGAGAAGUCGUAACA